GACGAACGCUGGCGGCGUGCUUAACACAUGCAAGUCGAACGGUCAACCUGCUUCGGUGGGGGAUCAGUGGCGAACGGGUGCGUAACACUUGGGCAACCUUCCCUCAGCUCUGGGAUAACUCCAAGAAAUUGGGGCUAAUACUGAAUAUGACCGCUGACCGCAUGGUCUGGGGGUGGAAAGAUUUAUCGGCUGGGGAUGGGCCGGCGGCCUAUCAGCUUGUUGGUGGGGUAGUGGGCUACCAAGGCGAAGACGGGUAGCCGGCAUGAGAGGGUGAACGGCCACCCUGGGACUGAGGCAGGGAGCAGACUGCAACGGGAGGCAGCAGGGGAGAGUAUUGCGGAGUAGGGGAGAGCCUGACGUAGAGACGCCGCGUGCGGGAUGACGGCUUACGAGUUAUAAACAACUUUCAGCAGAAACGAGGCGAAAGUGACGGUACCUGCAGAGAAAGCACCGGCUAACUACGUG
rnacentral:rRNA from 1 species